rnacentral:rRNA from 1 species
UACGAAGGGGGCUAGCGUUGCUCGGAAUUACUGGGCGUAAAGCGCGCGCAGGUGGUCUGUUAAGUUGGGGGUGAAAGCCCGGAGCUCAACUCCGUAAUUGCCUUCAAAACUGGCAGGCUAGAGUUCGGAAGAGGAGAGUGGAAUUCCCAGUGUAGAGGUGAAAUUCGUAGAUAUUGGGAAGAACACCAGUGGCGAAGGCGGCUCUCUGGUCCGACACUGACACUGAGGCGCGAAAGCGUGGGGAGCAAACAGG